rnacentral:rRNA from 1 species
UACGAAGGGGGCUAGCGUUGCUCGGAAUCACUGGGCGUAAAGCGCACGUAGGCGGCUUUUUAAGUCAGGGGUGAAAUCCCGGAGCUCAACUCCGGAACUGCCUCUGAUACUGGAGAGCUUGAGUCCGGGAGAGGUGAGUGGAACUGCGAGUGUAGAGGUGAAAUUCGUAGAUACUCGCAAGAACACCAGUGGCGAAGGCGGCUCACUGGCCCGGUACUGACGCUGAGGUGCGAAAGCGUGGGGAGCAAACAGG